GGAAACGACUGCUAAGACUGGAUAGGAGACAAGAGGGCAUCUUCUUGUUUUUAAAAGACCUAGCAAUAGGUAUGCUUAGGGAGGAGCUUGCGUCACAUUAGUUAGUUGGUGGGGUAAAGGCCUACCAAGACUAUGAUGUGUAGCCGGGCUGAGAGGUUGAACGGCCACAUUGGGACUGAGACACGGCCCAAACUCCUACGGGAGGCAGCAGUAGGGAAUUUUCGGCAAUGGAGGAAACUCUGACCGAGCAACGCCGCGUGAACGAUGAAGUAUUUCGGUACGUAAAGUUCUUUUAUUAGGGAAGAAUAAAUGAUGGAAAAAUCAUUCUGACGGUACCUAAUGAAUAAGCCCCGGCUAACUAUGUGCCAGCAGCCGCGGUAAUACAUAGGGGGCAAGCGUUAUCCGGAAUUAUUGGGCGUAAAGGGUGCGUAGGCGGUUAAAUAAGUUUAUGGUCUAAGUGCAAUGCUCAACAUUGUGAUGCUAUAAAAACUGUUUAGCUAGAGUAAGAUAGAGGCAAGUGGAAUUCCAUGUGUAGUGGUAAAAUGCGUAAAUAUAUGGAGGAACACCAGUAGCGAAGGCGGCUUGCUGGGUCUUUACUGACGCUGAGGCACGAAAGCGUGGGGAGCAAACAGGAUUAGAUACCCUGGUAGUCCACGCCGUAAACGAUGAGUACUAAACGUUGGGUAAAACCAGUGUUGAAGUUAACACAUUAAGUACUCCGCCUGAGUAGUACGUACGCAAGUAUGAAACUUAAAGGAAUUGACGGGACUCCGCACAAGCGGUGGAUCAUGUUGUUUAAUUCGAAGGUACCCGAAAAACCUCACCAGGUCUUGACAUGCUUCUGCAAAGCUGUAGAAACACAGUGGAGGUUAUCAGUUGCACAGGUGGUGCAUGGUUGUCGUCAGCUCGUGUCGUGAGAUGUUGGGUUAAGUCCCGCAACGAGCGCAACCCUUAUUGUUAGUUACCAGCACGUAAUGGUGGGGACUUUAGCAAGACUGCCAGUGAUAAAUUGGAGGAAGGUGGGGACGACGUCAAAUCAUCAUGCCCCUUAUGACCUGGGCUACAAACGUGAUACAAUGGCUGUUACAAAGGGUAGCUGAAGCGCAAGUUUUUGGCGAAUCUCAAAAAAACAGUCUCAGUUCGGAUUGAAGUCUGCAACUCGACUUCAUGAAGUUGGAAUCGCUAGUAAUCGCGAAUCAGCAUGUCGCGGUGAAUACGUUCUCGGGGUUUGUACACACCGCCCGUCA
rnacentral:rRNA from 3 species